rnacentral:rRNA from 1 species
ACUCCUACGGGAGGCAGCAGUGGGGAAUAUUGCACAAUGGGCGCAAGCCUGAUGCAGCCAUGCCGCGUGUGUGAAGAAGGCCUUCGGGUUGUAAAGCACUUUCAGUUGUGAGGAAGGUGGUGUCGUUAAUAGCGGCAUCAUUUGACGUUAGCAACAGAAGAAGCACCGGCUAACUCCGUGCCAGCAGCCGCGGUAAUACGGAGGGUGCGAGCGUUAAUCGGAAUUACUGGGCGUAAAGCGCAUGCAGGUGGUUUGUUAAGUCAGAUGUGAAAGCCCGGGGCUCAACCUCGGAACUGCAUUUGAAACUGGCAGACUAGAGUACUGUAGAGGGGGGUAGAAUUUCAGGUGUAGCGGUGAAAUGCGUAGAGAUCUGAAGGAAUACCGGUGGCGAAGGCGGCCCCCUGGACAGAUACUGACACUCAGAUGCGAAAGCUGGGGAGCAAACAGGAUUAGAUACCCUGGUAGCACAGAG